AUACGAAAGGUGCAAGCGUUGUUCGGAUUUACUGGGCGUAAAGAGAGUGUAGGUGGUUUAUUAAGUCGGAUGUGAAAUCCCGGGGCUCAACCUCGGAACUGCAUUCGAUACUGAUAGGCUAGAGUUUGGGAGGGGUAAGCGGAAUUCCGUGUGUAGCAGUGAAAUGCGUAGAUAUACGGAGGAACACCUGAGGCGAAGGCGGCUUACUGGACCAAUACUGACACUGAGACUCGAAAGCGUGGGUAGCAAACAGGAUUAGAAACCCCUGUAGUCC
rnacentral:rRNA from 1 species